AGUAUGGAACAGGAGUCAGAGGUUUGCCCAGAGAGGCCAUUCUUUUUACCAGCACAAGGCAGACCUCAUACGUCUGACUCUCUGAGACCUAUGUUACUGACAAAGGCGUGAUCUGGCCCUUACCCAAGCCCGAGUCAAGAUAGCCAUUUACCUCUCGAUCCCGCUCGGUUUUGGUCAGCCUCAUCUGCCGCAGCAUCUGAGACCGCUGCUCCAUCAUCAGGGUCCGCUCGUAGCUUCCAGGCGGAGGUGAUACAGGAAGAUGGCCAGAUCCUUCUUCAUCUGGAUGCUGUUGUCGUCCAUCUGGGCCACGGUGAAAAUGCGCAUCCGGCACUUCUUCCAAACCUGCGGCCGUGGGUCGUGUGAGCGGUUGGUUGGGUCACCACGCCCGGCUUCCCGAGAGCCCGGCUGCCCUCGCCCACGCCCGGCCAGCUGGCACACCUUAUGCUGGCGCAGCAGGAAGGGCAGCAACAUAAGCAUGCCUCCGUCGUGCACGAUCCACCACACGUCGAUGUGGCCCUCCAGGUAGCGCUCAUGGUUGCUGGGGUAGAAAGCUAUGUUCUUUGGCACCAGCAGGGCCAGGUGGGCAGCUGUGGUGCAGCGCACAGUGUCUAGGGAGGAGGGGCACCGCUGACUGCCAGCCUGUGACCCUCUGGUCUCUGCCACCUCACUUUAACCCUGGCCCUUGGCCCCUGGCCCAGCUCAGGCGCCAGACCCUCACACA
rnacentral:lncRNA from 1 species